AGAGUUUGAUCCUGGCUCAGAUUGAACGCUGGCGGCAUGCUUUACACAUGCAAGUCGAACGGCAGCGGGGGCUUCGGCCUGCCGGCGAGUGGCGAACGGGUGAGUAAUGCAUCGGAACGUGCCCAGUCAUGGGGGAUAACUACGCGAAAGCGUAGCUAAUACCGCAUACGCCCUGAGGGGGAAAGCGGGGGAUCGCAAGACCUCGCGUGAUUGGAGCGGCCGAUGUCGGAUUAGCUGGUUGGUGGGGUAAAGGCCUACCAAGGCGACGAUCCGUAGCGGGUCUGAGAGGAUGAUCCGCCACACUGGGACUGAGACACGGCCCAGACUCCUACGGGAGGCAGCAGUGGGGAAUUUUGGACA
rnacentral:rRNA from 1 species